UACGUAGGGGCGUAGCGUUGUCCGGAAUCAUUGGGCGUAAAGAGCGUGUAGGCGGUCCGGUAAGUCGGCUGUGAAAGUCCAGGGCUCAACCCUGGGAUGCCGGUCGAUACUGCCGGACUAGAGUUCGGAAGAGGCGAGUGGAAUUCCCGGUGUAGCGGUGAAAUGCGCAGAUAUCGGGAGGAACACCUAUGGCGAAGGCAGCUCGCUGGGACGUUACUGACGCUGAGACGCGAAAGCGUGGGGAGCAAACAGG
rnacentral:rRNA from 1 species